rnacentral:lncRNA from 1 species
GUGUUUUGACGCGGGAAUUGCAUGGAUCGUGGUUGGAGGCUCGCGAUGAAGAAAGCUGGUAAAAUGAGUAAAUUUGAUGAAGUGAUCGUGUGAAUGGGAAGAAAAUUAGAGAUUGAGCUUGGAGUUAAUUAUUCUAAAUUUAAUUAAGCUCAAAACUUUUGUUUUAAUUUAUUUUUCUUGGGCCUUAUGUUGGUAAUCGCCGAUCAGCCCAUUCCAUGUGUGGCUAGGGUCGGCCAAUUAAGGGUUUAAAUCCCUUGAUUUUGUUUUAUUACUUGCAGCCGCUAGACUAGGAAGGAAAAAGUUAGGUUUUAUUUUUAAUUCUCUAGUGCUAAACGUUUGAUUAGUUUUAAUUAAAUUACUUGUUUUCUUGCUUUUGGAUUUUUGAGAUUGGCGGCUGGAACAAGAUUG